rnacentral:rRNA from 1 species
UACAGAGGUCUCAAGCGUUGUUCGGAUUCAUUGGGCGUAAAGGGUGCGUAGGCGGCAGGGUAAGUCGGAUGUGAAAUCCCGGGGCUCAACCCCGGAACUGCAUUCGAUACUGCCUUGCUAGAGUACUGGAGAGGAGAUUGGAAUUUACGGUGUAGCAGUGAAAUGCGUAGAUAUCGUAAGGAAGACCAGUGGCGAAGGCGGAUCUCUGGACAGUUACUGACACUGAGGCACGAAGGCCAGGGGAGCAAACGGG